rnacentral:tRNA from 2 species
GGUCCUAUAGCUCAGCUGGUUAGAGCACCUGACUCAUAAUCAGGGUGUCGCAGGUUCAAGCCCUGCUGGGACCA